GCCGUGUGAAGUCGGGGGAAGCGGGAAGGAGCCCGCGCCGAGGGUGCGUGUCCUCCUCGAACACGUCCGAGUCCUCGGGGUCCCGCUUGCCCCCCAUGAGCGCCCCCCAGCUCCCCGGGCCGUUGAGGGCCCCGCCGCCGUUCAGGCUGGGGUGCUUCUCCUGCAUCUCCGACUGGCUGUCGCUGGCCACGUCCAGCGUGGGGUUGUCGUGGCAGCCGUUCUCCACGAAGCGCAGCUCCUCGCCGUGCGACUGAGGCGGGGUGGGGAGAGGCCAUGGGCGAGCGAGCCAGCCCCCGGACAGCGCCAGGCCCGCGGCCGUCUGUGCAACCCCACCCAGGGGGUUCCCGCGGCACCCUCCACAGGUGCCAGAUCCUUCUUUUCUGUUGCUGCAGCUCAACUCCUUUCUCAAAAUAAACCUACUAGUCGUUGGCACUACAAAGCCCCGUGGCCUCCCUGACGUCAUCGAUCCCCCAACAGCCCCCUAAGAAGACUCCACUUGCGAGGUGGGCAGGGAGCAUCGCUAGGGCUCUGCUCGCUUCCUCCUGGGGAGGCCUCUAGGCUGCUGGAGCCUCUCCUUGAUCCUUGGGCACCACCAACGCAGGGCCUGCCUCUGGUGAGGUAUUCAGGUGCUCAGGCCCUGCAGUGCCUGCGCCGGAAAGGGGCUGGUGGUGCCAGGGAGGGGCCCCCUGGUGGGGCUAGCAGCCCCCUCACUCCCUGCACCUCUGGCACCUGUCCUGGGGCUGGUGCCCUGCAGAGCAGUCAGCAGUGCUAGGCUGACCAGCUGCUUCACCCACGGGACCCUGUGCGCCCAGGAGAGUCACUGCCUCCCCUUGCAGAUGAGGACACCUAUCGAUGGGCACUCUCCUCUCAACUGGCCCCCAGCCCCACCUGUCCCCACACUCACCACGUGCUUGAGCUUGGGCAGCCGGCGCUGCCAGCAGUUGUAGAGCAGGCCAAGCGCAAUGAUGAUGAUGCAGAUGGCCCCAAUGACCACCAGCACCACGAAGAGCGUGCCGUAGUCGCUGCGCACCUGGCUGGCCCGCGCCUGGCAGCUGCUGGUUGUGGAAUAGUUCUGGAUGCCAAUCUAGGGGUGGGAGGGGCCAGUUUCCUCAGCUGAGGUCCUGGGGUGCCAUGGCUCCUCUGGGGUGGUUGCAUUGGGCUCGGGUGGGGAUGGGGGAGCAGGCUUAGAAGGUGCUGGCACUCCCGGCUCCUGAAGUUCCCUGGCGCCUGGGCUUGCCUCUACCCCAUGCCCAUCCCGUUUGCCUCAGUACACCUGGAGGCCUCUCCACCCCAUGCCCAUGUUCCCAGCCUCCUUCACAUCCCACCAUAGCUUCUGCCCCAGCCGCUGAGUCUGAGCUCACUGUGGCCCUAGGCCUCCAGUGAGAGUGGACCCAUGCUGCUGGACACCAUCCAACUAGAGAGAGUGCCCACACCUAUCCUAACUAGUUAGAGAGACAGGAGAUGUGAGCCCCCCACACAUCCUCCACCAUACAACCGCUUCCACCUCGGUGGGGAGGGGUGGACCAGUCAGCUUCCUGAUGCCAGGGCCGGUGCAGGGAGGGAUACUGAGGGCAUGCAGGCCACAUGGGGGGCCACCCCGGCUGCCCAGCUUCCUCCCUUCCCAUGGCGUGUUCACUGCUGGCAUGUAGCUGCCUGCAUCCCUCCACGCUGCAGGUUGUCAUGGUCAGUCCUGCCUUCUCUGGCCAAGGAGAUCGGCGCCAGGGGCCAGGCAGGUGCUAUCUCCACAGAUCAGCAUCUUAGCAGAGAGAAGCAGGAGGGCGAGCACCACCAGGGGCUCCUCAGGUGAGGGAUCAGGGCAGUUCCCAGUGCUGAGGCCUAGGUUGCACCAGGCCCCCUUUCUGAGUUCAGGUUGCAGCUCUUCCCCGGUUUCUGUGAACCACCCGUGUAUCUCCAGUACUUUUCUCAAUUUUUUGUUAUCAAGGGUCAGUUUUUCUUGCUAGAUUCACCUGAGUAUAUUUCCAAAGACCCAGCAUGACUUUUGGCCAAGUCAGUGUGAAUUAAGUGACCAGUAACGCCAGAAUACUCAGGGGCAGCGAAAAGCAGGGGGAGGACUGUAUAAAAGGUCAAGGUUAGCCCACACUUCCACCAGCAGCCCCACUGUUCAUGGACCCACGAUUCCAGAACUGGGAAGGGCCUCAGUGGCCCUCCAGGCAGUAGAGCAGUGUGGUGAAAGGCCCGGGCUCCGGAAUCAGGCUUCCUGCAAAGCCUGGCUCUACCGCUUACUGCUGGUGCCAUCUCAGACAGGUCACCUAACCUCUCCCGCUUCAGCUCUCAUCUUCCAUGGGGACACCAUUGGUACUCAACAGGUGCCUCACUUAACCCUCACAACCCCAUGGGGUGGUGGCGAGGACUGAGGGAGAGAGCCUUGCACAGUGUGGUGCUCAGUGGGCAUUCGACAUGCUCACCAGAAAAGCACCACCACCAGGGCCUCUGCUCCCCUGGCAUGCAAGGAUGAAGAGGCGGCCAGCAUUAUACCACUCAUCUCUCCUGCCAAAAAUGGCAGCACCUUCGGGAGUGGAGAGGGCUGAUGACAGGGCACUGGACUCUACAGUGAGCAAAGGCAGUUUUGGUGGAGAUGGUGGCUGUCCUCAAGAAGUGAGAUGAGGAACAGAAGGACCCCAUAGGCAAGGUGGUGUGAGGAGCAGGACUGGGGGACCCUGCCAUCCCAUCCAAGCUUGUGCGGCAGCUGGGUAGGAGAGGUUGAUCGGGAUGGGCCAGGCAGCCAGCAGACUGCACUGGGUGGGGGCACCUCCUAAGAUGGCAGGGCUGCCUCCUGGCCCCCAGGCGCCGCAUCUCACCGCAGCAGGAGCGCAGGGCCUGGCCGUGCAAGCACCAGUAGAUUCACACGUCCACGCCAAGUCACAUGUCCAGGUCUCCCAGGCUUGCUCUUUUGGUUUCUGGAACCCAUCAUGCUCGCCCCUCCCACCAGGCAGCAUGGUGUCUCUGCCACUGUCUACCCAGAAAACUCCCAGUUAACCCUCACUGCUCCCCAGACCCUUCCUCUCUGGGCCCUCUCCUGACUGUCAGCCUCUUAGCACAGCCCCCACACCCCCAUGGCCCCUUUCUGCCCCUGGCCAUUGCCUGCAUUGGACCUUUGGUUGGUAGCAUGCACAUGCACCGUCUUUCCCACAAAACCAUGUCUAAGGGAGGCCUGAAGCAAGGAACCUGCCCAGAGCACGCUCUGUCUUAUACUCCUUUGAACCUCACGAUGUGGGCAGACUCCUGGGACUUUGAGGAACAGAGACAGGAGGGAGCAUAUUAGAAGCUAACAGGUCCAGGUCCCUGCACUCUUACCUCCUCCAGGCUCCUGCGGAUGUCACCCAGCAUGGAAAGGACAUCUUG
rnacentral:lncRNA from 10 species